rnacentral:rRNA from 1 species
UAACCUACGGGAGGCAGCAGUGGGGAAUAUUGCACAAUGGGGGGAACCCUGAUGCAGCGACGCCGCGUGAAGGAAGACGGUUUUCGGAUUGUAAACUUCUUUUCUUAGUGAAGAAGCAAGUGACGGUAGCUAAGGAAUAAGCAUCGGCUAACUACGUGCCAGCAGCCGCGGUAAUACGUAGGAUGCGAGCGUUAUCCGGAAUUACUGGGUGUAAAGGGAGCGCAGGCGGGACUGGAAGUUGGGUGGGAAAUAUCGCAGCUUAACUG